AUUGAACGCUGGCGGCAGGCUUAACACAUGCAAGUCGAGCGAGCGGUGGACGGGUGAGUAAUGUCUGGGAAACUGCCUGAUGGAGGGGGAUAACUACUGGAAACGGUAGCUAAUACCGCAUACCAUCAGAUGUGCCCAGAUGGGAUUAGCUAGUAGGUGGGGUAAUGGCGCACCUAGGCGACGAUCCCUAGCUGGUCUGAGAGGAUGACCCGCCACAAUGGAGCUGAGACACGGUCCAGACUCCUACGGGAGGCAGCAGUGGGGAAUAUUGCACAAUGGGCGCAAGCCUGAUGCAGCCAUGCCGCGUGUGUGAAGAAGGCCGUCGGGUUGGAAAGCACUUUCAGUGAGGAGGCGUUGCUCGCAGAAGAAGCACCGGCUAACUCAGUGCCAGGAGCCGCGGGAAUUC
rnacentral:rRNA from 1 species